UUUCUUCCUUUUUUUUAAUCACUUUCACGGACUUCUAAUGCAUUCAUUUCCUAUUUGUAUGAAUGGUGGCCCUUGGUGGCUAUGGGAAGGUUGAUUCUGGGUUGCGAACUUCUUCACAGUGUUUGGAGAGCAGAGAGGUCAGUGAUGAGAUGGAACAUCUCAUAACUUCAUCUGGAUCUUCUCUGACACACUGACAUUUUUAGCAUGCAUUUUCCUGACUGCAGGUCUGAGGCAGUGUCGCCAGGAGAUUAUGGCUGGAGAUCAUGAAAUCACUGGGAAUAAGACUUGCAAGAUCACACCGUUAACUAGAAAUUCAAUUAUUCAAAUGUGGCUCCAGAAUGCAGGGGGCUCAGCAAGCAUGUAGGCUAAUAUUUAGACUUGCUGAAUCUCUAAUCUCACUCCUUAAAGUGUUACAACAGCUCUUUUUUUCUUUUUUCUUUUUUUUUAAAAAAAAAAAAAACAAAAACACACAAAAACCUGUGCAAGUAUUUCACUGCUAAUUGUGCUGUCGAUUCACUUUUCUAAAUUUAAAAAGUCCUGCCUCCAAGAUUGUGAUUUUGGAAUUUGGGAUCAUAAAUUAAGCCCUUUUAUGAAAGAAAUAAGAAGUUUGCUGUUGUUUUUAAUAAGAUUUUAUGGUAAGUAUGGCAACAGUAAGUCUGUCAGUCUGGGCUUUGCUGCACAUGUGUAGCUCUGUGCUUUGAGACCCUCAAAAUGUCUGUUUUUAGGACAUCAGCAGGGGGCUAAUGAAAAGGCUUUGUUGAUUUUAACGAAUUGCAAGCCACUGUAGCCAAAAUAAAUAUAAUCUGCUUUUUGGAUUAGUUGUCACACAUGAUUUUACCUACUAACAGUGAUUAAAGAACCCUGGUGGACCAGAAGCAUAGCUGCUCUCUGGUGACUCUUGCUAAAAUAGCAAUAAACAGAAGUAAAUAAAGACUUAGGGCAUUAGUUAUCUUUAAUAAACAGUGACACUGCACAUAAUGUUUGAGGGAGACUUCAAAAACCUGUGUCGUGCACAGCAGUGUCACUUCUUCCAGUGCAGAGAGCACAGGUCAUGCAAGAGGACCGAUCACAGUACCUGGUAUCAGCAAGGCAGUGGCACGGAGCUGCUCAUCUCAUCUCAGUGACCUGUAGCCCCACAUCCAGGGCUGCCAACCCCACUGAGCACCUCACCGAGACCCUCAGUGUUGAGACAUUUUCACCCAGUGGUGGACCACAGGAACAAAGUUUAAAAUGUUUGAAACUAGAGGGAUUGCAACAGGAAAAUGAAUGGAGUGUUAAUUGCUUGUGUAAUUAUGCAACGUCCUAACCGCUGUAAUUACAUCCAGUUAAUGAAUGGAGGACCAGUACUGGUCUCUCCUACCUUAGCGUUUAUAAGCUGGUACAAAGAAUGACUUGCCCCUUGACAUCUUUUAUCCCUGGUAUUUUCCCUGUAAUAAAGGAUGGGUGUGUUUCCUCAUCCCAUUCACGUUUGUUGUGAGAGGCAACAAUUACCACUGAUGGCACUGUACUACUCCUUUGUACUAACUGUUGCUUUUAAUCAGUGGAUAGAAGAAACAAAACAAAUGAAAGCAUGUUUUCUCUUCAUAGAGGGAAUUAUUUCUGUAGCACUGAAUGUUGGCAACAAUUUUAGGCUGUACUGUAUGGGAGGAAAACACCUUCCUGAGAGGGGCAAGGAAUGAAGGAGUUUCCUAUCAGGAACAUGGAAAGUCAGAAAUUUUGAAAAAUAAAAUAAUUUAAAUCGAGGGAGUGCAAAACACAAGAAUAAUUACUUUAGGGAAAAAUCCUAGCAAAACAGGGAGGGGGGCUGAGCUUUCUAAUGAGCCUUCAACUUUUAUUCAUCUGUCCCUAAUUGUACACCCCUGGAAGGCACAUGGCACUGCUCUGCAAAGAGUUUCUCUCUUCUAUGACAGCUAAAACCCUUCAAAUUAAUCAAGUAAACAUCCUCAGGCAUUUUAGAAUUUUAUAACUCUUUUCUGAUGCAUGGAUUUAAAUUCUUGUUCAGUGUUUCGGGUGAAGUAGUGCAGUGGUUACAAUAUACUCCUGACUUUACAAUCUGUGAAAAAAAGCUUUGAUACCCUGCUCAGGAAGGGAGCAAGACCUACAAAGGCCCCAUCCCUCUCUUGGCUGGAAGUCAUUAGGAGUUUGGAGAAUUGCCCGAUGGUGUAAUUCAAGUCUUGACUGCAUAUCUUAUUGGUUAAAAAUAGGAGCCAACUCCAGCUCAUCAGUUUUGCUAAGAAACUAUUGAUUGUGAUUAGCAAGCUUAAAAAUAAUUACCUGGUGUGUUCAUUGCUAUCUUUGGACAUACUCUCAUAUUCCUACUCUUACAGAAAGUAUUGAGCAGCACAAUAGGGCUAUUUGAUGACUAAGGUGUUGCAUGCACUGUGUGGAGGGGAGGGAGGGUACUGAGCACUUCCACCUCCUGGUGACUGACACCUGCACUGGGGAGAAACCCCCCUGGCCUCAUAGCAAAUUCGCAGAGGGUGCAGAGGAGCUGUGUAGAUCCCCCCUUGUUCCCACAAGGGCACAUCUGUAUUUCCAGUUCUUCCCAGGUGCAGUCACCACUGUUACCACUCAGCUUUUCUUUGGCAGCCCCAAACCCACCUAGUACCAUGGCUGCUGCAUCCUGCAGAGGAAUAAGUUACUGAUUUACUUAGCACCUAGGGAAAGGGAGUUUCACCUGGGUUUUAACACCUACUUUAAAAGCCUGGAGGUGUUGAUUCAUGUGUUUUGAGUUGAUCCAAAGCAGCUGAGGCAAUUAAAAUACCUGGAAGGCUAUCUUUCUGUCUUUGGAAGUUGUUGUCCGUGCAACAGACAGUUCUAGCAAGUGGCUGGAUUAUUGCUACCUACAGAACUGUGUGUUCACAUAAACCUGCAUCUGUUUCAGCCUGUUCAAGCAUGGGCUGUCACCUGAAUAUGUGAGAAGAGUGACUUAUACCUGUCAAGCUCCUGAUACAGAUGCAUGAAAUAUUUUGGAUUUUAAAGCCUUCUGCUUCCUUUUGACUUCAUUGAAAAGAAUCUUCUGGGGAAAAAAAAAAGAUUCAAAGGGUGAGUUUUCUGGUUUUUAUCUAUUUGUCCAGCUUGAAGAUCUCUUCAUCAGCAUGUCAAUGUUAUGCAAAAAUACCCAGGCAGGUUUUAAACGUGCAGAUUGUUAAAGUUUUGGGACCGCAUAUAUGGCGUUAAAAUAGGAGUCUUCUCCAAGGGAUUUCAGAAACAUCUUUCUUCAACCUUUGUGGUGCAUUUAUUUGUACUGUUUUUAUAGCUGUUAUGAUGUGGGGAGAACCCUUCACUGUAACAGCGAUUUAUGCUUUCAAAGGAAACCUGUUUGUAGGAACUGGUUUUAAGUUGCCAUUAUAUUUUAACAUCAGCAUUUGUGGCUUCAAAUUGAGCCUACAUGAAAAUAACUAGAGAAUCCUCUGAC